rnacentral:rRNA from 1 species
UUGAUCCGGCUUCAGGAUGAACGCUGGCGGCGUGCCUAAUACAUGCAAGUCCGAGCGAAUUGAUUAAGAGCUGCUCUUAUGAGUUAGCCGCGACGGGUGGGUAAAACGGGUUAACUGCAUAAGUAAGACUGGGAUACUCCGGAAACCGGGGCUAUACCGGAAAUAUUUGAAACUGCAUGGUUCGAAAUGAAAGCGCUCGGCUGUCACUUAUGGAGACCCGCGUGGAUUAGCUAGUGGUGAGGUAACGGCUCACCAACGGCACGAUGCGUACCGACCUGAGAGAGUGUGAUCGGCCACACUGGGACUGAGACACGGCCAGUCUACGGGAGGCAGCAGUAUGGAAUCUUCCGCAAUGGACCGAAGUCUGACGAGCAAGCGCCCGUGAGUGAUGAAGGCUUUCGGGUCGUAAACUCUGUUUGUAGGAAAGAACAAAGUGAGUUGAAUAAAGGGGCACCUUGACGUAACCUAACCAGAAAGCCACGGCCUAACUACGUGGCCAGCAGCCGCGGUAUACGUAGGUGGCAAGCGUUAUCCGGACUUAUUGGGGUAAAGCGCGCCGCAGGUGGUUUCUUAAGUCUGAUGUUGAAAGCCCACGAGCUCAACCUGGAGGUCAUUGGAAACUGGAGACUUGCUGCAGAGAGGAAGAGUGGAAUUCAUGUGUAGCGGUGAAAUCGUAGAGAUAUGGAGGAACACCAGUGGCGAAGGCGACUUUCCUGGUCUGUAACUGACACUGAGCGCGAAAGCGUGGGGAGCAAACAGGAAUUAGAUACCCUGGUAUGUCCACGCCGGUAACGAUGCAGUGCUCAAGUGUUGAGGGUUUCGCCGCCCUUUUAUGCUGAAGUUAACGCAUUAAGCACUUCCGCCUGGGGAGUACGGCCGCAAGCUGAAACUCAAAGGAAUUGAGGGGGGCCCGCACAACGGUGGAGCAUGUGGUUGAAUUCGAAAGCAACGCGAAGAACCUACCAGGUCUGCAUCCUCUGAACCCUAGAGAAGGGGCUUCUCCUUCAGGAGCAGAGUGACAGUGGUGCGUGGUUGUCGUCAGCUUACGUGUCGUGAGAUGUGGGUUAAGUCCCGCACGAGCGCAACCCUUGAUCUUAGUUGCCAUCAUUAAGGUUGGGCACUCUAAGGUGACUUGCCUGACACGGAGGAAGGUGGGAUGACGUCAAAUCAUCAUGACCCUUAUGACCGGGGGACCUGGGUACACACGUGCUACAAUGGCACGGUACAAAGAGUGCAAGACCGCGAGGUGGAGCUAAUCUCAUAAAACCGUUCUCAGUUCGGAUUGAUAGGCUGCAACUCGCCUACAUGAAGCUGGAAUCGCUUAGUAAUCGGUCAAUCAGGCAUGCCGCGGUGAAUCGUUCCGGCGCCUUUGUACACACCGCCUCACACCACGAGAGUUUGUAGACCACCCGAAGUCGGUGGGGUAACUUUUGGAGCCAGCCGCCUAAGGUUGGGACAGAUGAUUGGGUGAAGUUUCAGUCGUAACAAGGGUAGCCGUAGCGGAAGGUGGGCGGGUGGAUCACCUCCGUUUCU